GAGCUUACCAUGCAGUCGACGCUGAGCUGACAGCUUGCUGUUGGUGGAUGAGUGGCGAACGGGUGAGUAACACGUGAGUAACCUGCCCCUGAUUUCGGGAUAAGCCUGGGAAACUGGGUCUAAUACCGGAUAUGACCAAUCCUUGCAUGAGGGUUGGUGGAAAGUUUUUCGAUCGGGGAUGGGCUCGCGGCCUAUCAGCUUGUUGGUGGGGUAAUGGCCUACCAAGGCGACGACGGGUAGCCGGCCUGAGAGGGCGACCGGCCACACUGGGACUGAGACACGGCCCAGACUCCUACGGGAGGCAGCAGUGGGGAAUAUUGCACAAUGGGGGAAACCCUGAUGCAGCGACGCAGCGUGCGGGAUGACGGCCUUCGGGUUGUAAACCGCUUUCAGCAGGGAAGAAGCGAAAGUGACGGUACCUGCAGAAGAAGUACCGGCUAACUACGUGCCAGCAGCCGCGGUAAUACGUAGGGUACGAGCGUUGUCCGGAAUUAUUGGGCGUAAAGAGCUCGUAGGUGGUUGGUCACGUCUGCUGUGGAAACGCAACGCUUAACGUUGCGCGUGCAGUGGGUACGGGCUGACUAGAGUGCAGUAGGGGAGUCUGGAAUUCCUGGUGUAGCGGUGAAAUGCGCAGAUAUCAGGAGGAACACCGGUGGCGAAGGCGGGACUCUGGGCUGUAACUGACACUGAGGAGCGAAA
rnacentral:rRNA from 1 species